rnacentral:lncRNA from 1 species
CAGAAGUUGCACUACUAAGAUGAGAAAAUGUUUUGAUGAUAAGAUUGAUGACUGAAUUAAUAUCUUAAAUUUCUAUUUGUUGGAAGGAAACAUUACUUAUAAUUUCUCAAAUGACAACUUGAUAGGGCUAGUAAUGUUUCCUAUUAUUCACUAUAAGUUUCUUCUUGUUGCAAGCACCAUGAAAGCCACCUCGCUCGUGCCAU